rnacentral:rRNA from 1 species
UACAGAGGUCCCGAGCGUUGUUCGGAUUCACUGGGCGUAAAGGGUGCGUAGGUGGCAAGGUAAGUUUGAUGUGAAAGCUCAGGGCUUAACCCUGAAAUGGCAUUGAAUACUACUGUGCUGGAGGUUUGGAGGGGGGACUGGAAUUCUUGGUGUAGCAGUGAAAUGCGUAGAUAUCAAGAGGAACACCAGUGGCGAAGGCGAGUCCCUGGACAACACCUGACACUGAGGCACGAAAGCCGGGGGAGCAAACAGG